GUGGGGAAUCUUGCGCAAUGGGCGAAAGCCUGACGCAGCCAUGCCGCGUGAAUGAUGAAGGUCUUAGGAUUGUAAAAUUCUUUCACCGGGGACGAUAAUGACGGUACCCGGAGAAGAAGCUCCGGCUAACUUCGUGCCAGCAGCCGCGGUAAUACGAAGGGGGCUAGCGUUGCUCGGAAUUACUGGGCGUAAAGGGCGCGUAGGCGGACAGCUUAGUCAGAGGUGAAAGCACAGGGCUCAACCUUGGAAUUGCCUUUGAUACUGGCUGUCUUGAGUUUGGGAGAGGUGAGUGGAACUCCGAGUGUAGAGGUGAAAUUCGUAGAUAUUCGGAAGAACACCAGUGGCGAAGGCGACUCACUGGCCCAAUACUGACGCUGAGGCGCGAAAGCGUGGGGAGCAAACAGGAUUAGAAACCCGUGUAGUCC
rnacentral:rRNA from 1 species